rnacentral:misc_RNA from 1 species
UCCGAGUUGACCCCGGCAGUCUCCUAUGAGUCCCCACCAUCACGUGCUGGCAACAUAGAACGAGGGUUGCGCUCGUUGCGGGACUUAACCCAACAUCUCACGACACGAGCUGACGACAACCAUGCACCACCUGUCCACCAGCCCCGAAGGGAAACCCCAUCUCUGGGGCGGUCCGGUGAAUGUCAAGCCUUGGUAAGGUUCUUCGCGUUGCAUCGAAUUAAUCCGCAUGCUCCGCCGCUUGUGCGGGCCCCCGUCAAUUCCUUUGAGUUUCAGUCUUGCGACCGUACUCCCCAGGCGGAGUGCUUAAUGCGUUAGCUGCAGCACUAAGGGGCGGAAGGUGGGGAUGACGUAAUGGAAGCAAGCU